ACGAACGCUGGCGGCGUGCUUAACACAUGCAAGUCGAACGAGAAAGCACCUUCGGGUGCGAGUAAAGUGGCGAACGGGUGAGUAACAGGUGGAUCACCUGCCUCUCGGUGGGGGAUAGCUGCUGGAAACGGCAGGUAAUACCGCAUUCGAUUGCACGUUGAUUCGUGCAAGGAAAGGCGCCUUCAAGCGCCGCCGAGAGAUGGGUCCGCCCCCCAUUAGCUUGUUGGUGUGAUAAUAGCGCACCAAGGCGACGAUGGGUAGCCGAACUGAGAGGUUGAUCGGCCACACUGGAACUGAGACACGGUCCAGACACCUACGGGUGGCAGCAGUAGGGAAUAUUGCGCAAUGGGCGAAAGCUUGACGCAGCCAUGCCGCGUGGAUGAUGAAGGCCUUCGGGUCGUAAAGUCCUUUUCUGAGGGAAGAACAACCUGUGGAGGAAAUGCCACAGGUCUGACGGUACCUCAGGAAUAAGCAACGGCUAACUCCGUG
rnacentral:rRNA from 1 species